rnacentral:misc_RNA from 1 species
GUGAAUCAUCGAAUCUUUGAACGCAAAUUGCACUCUCUUCGGAGAGUAUGCCGGUUUGAGUGUCAGCCUCAAAAAAAUCGACAUAGUUGCUGUGACGUGGUAACAUUCUUCCGAAAUUGCGUCAUCUUAAACCUUUGGGUUUAAGCGACUUAACAUUUUCUUUUCGAUUCCCAGAACGUUUCUAAGAUUUUAUUUACUUAUACGUUUAAGGUAUCGAUCUUUAUUAGACGUUGACGUUGCAUCGGAUCUGGAC